rnacentral:lncRNA from 1 species
GGUCACCAAGUGUUUUUCUUUCUUUUCUUUUUCCUGCCAGCAACUGGUUAACAAAUGGCAGCGUCUGAUUGGCUGGGAUUCCAGGGGUGGCAGUUUAAAAGGAGAGGAUUUGGAGAGACAGGUUGUGAGGUUGGGAGAUAGAGAGUUGGUUCUGGGCAGAAACAUCCACUCUCAGGAAUAUAUCAAAAGCUACAGAAAGGAGUCUCUGAGCUUAGUGUGAAGGACAGUGUGUGGUGUCCCGUGAGAGUAAUAGGCCAGGAAAUAAGUGGGAGGCUGAGCCAAGAGAAGUAGAAGCUGUAAGAGAGACAGUCUACUUAGGUCUCAUUCCAGUCAGGAGGGGAGAGAUUCUUCUAGAAAGAGAAGACUCCCAAACCAGUCAAGAGGGGUGUGGAAAUCCCUUGGGUCUGUCACUUGGAGUACCUCAGGAGUAGGAUUGUCAAAGGGGUGUGUAACUGACAGAAAGUGCCACCUUGUUUAAGAACCAAAGUGUUAAGCGACAACAGCCAUGCAACACCUGAGAAAGAACUGAAGUGAAAUAACUGGAAAUAAGCUGAGCAUUUACCAUUUAGUCUAAAAACCUGUAAUCUCUACCUGAAGCAAAUUAACUGAACAUAAGCAAGUGAUGUUUAAAAGAAGCUGUGCUUGAUUAAGAGUCCAUAAAAUCAGUUAGAUUUAAUAUAAAUGUUAUUAGGUAAACGGUUACCUGAACAUUAUAACCUGAAGUACCCUUUGUUUUACCCACUUUGUGUCAAAAACUUCCUUUGUCUAAUAAAACCUUUCUUGUUUGUUUGAUCAAAUCCUGCUUGAGACUCCAAAUCAUUAAGUUUUCCCUCACACAAGUCCCCCACUAGAUAAUCUGGGGUAAAUUGAAGAAGUUCAUGUAUUUAAGUACCGUGAAACGACCGUUGUGCCGUCGCAGCAAGUAUAACUAUCCUAGCCCCAGACACAAAGCCAAUCGACACAAUCGAUUUAACAAUACUUUUUUGCUGAACAUCAGUAUUAAGCAAAAUCAAAACAAAAUCAGAGACUACUUGAAGCUCUUUGAUAGUAUUAUGGUUACUGAAGUUCAAUGUAAAUAUGUUGGGUUUUUUUAAACUCCCCCCCCCCCACAAUGUGGGACAUAACUUUCCCCCCUUUAAUGUGGGACAUUUAAGCCAGGAAGGUAAAUGGGGGGGGGGGGAUGCUAGAAUUAGAUUUGAGGGCUUGGCAGUGUGAAACAAUGGAAGGUAGUCAUUUUUUGCAUCCUUAUGAGGCAACUCCCACCAGUACCUUGGAUUUGGAACUUUCAGGAGUUUGUCUUUGUAAUGAAAUAGCUGUGAAUGUGGGGGGGGGGGGAGCUCCAGUUCUUGACUUAAUGUAUGUAUCUUUUAAAGUGGACCUUUGAGGAGCCCCAUUUUUUAAACAGACUGAUUGUGACAGCAGCCCUCCUUACUGUUUCUCCACCCAUCUGCAUUUUGCUUAAGUAAUGUGAUUCUGGGAAUGACUGUUUUCCCCUGCCCAUCAGUCUGUUUGUAGAGCUUUUUGCUCAUCUAGCAGCACCGAGUGUCCAGGGCAUAGCCAGAAAAACAAAGAAUUCUACCUGCUAAUAUUUAUGCUGCCUAUCCUGUGCCCUGAAAACAGAACACCUGUUGUGGUUAUGGCUACUGAACAUACGGCACAAAUAUCUGGCACUGCCCUACCGUACUUGGAAUCAAACUGGCAUUCGUUAUUCUGACCUUUUUUUUCUUUUUUUAAGCCCAAAAGCUCUCUUUUUCCACAACAGGUAUGCACCUGACAGUUGUCUGAGAAAUGCUUGGGUAGAAAUGAACAUUUUUUAAUAUCUGACAACACAAUGAAGUGAAUAAGGAAUAGCUUCGAACAAGAGCUUGGUCUCUUUUAUGCUGCGGGUCCUUCUAAGAGGGCCCAUGCUUAUGAAUCCCAGUGCAAAAACCCAAUCCCUGAAUUCGGCUGUUUUGUCAGCUGGGAUCAAUAAUAGGUCCCAGAACUUGAAGCAGCAAGAUGCCAUGGAUGAGAUGUUAGAAUUUAACCAGUUCCCCUGCUCUUGGCUUUUCUAGUAGGGGAAAGAUAAGACGUUUAUAUGGAAGGGCAGUCACACUCAGAUGAAAGCCUCCAACAUGCAAAGAAAAGGGUUAAUGUUCACAAGGGCUAUAGCAUGCCAAAAUAGUAUUCUGGAAUGUCAUAUACCUUUUUCCAGAGGCAGUUGGUACAGUUAUGUCAGUUAUGAACAGUCUUAUGUGUGACAGCAGCUGAGCAGUCAGUCUGUUCAGCUGGUGUCUGCCUCAGACUUAGUCAUUCUGUAGGAGUUUUUGUCUUAGAUACAAAUCUAUGUAAGAUGUAUUAGUAACUUGAGUUACACCUGCCUGUCUUGUACAUUUACAAGUACACUGAGUAAAAGUUAUUUGUUACUUAAACUUUAAAAAGAGAGUGUCUUGCGUAAUUUUUAUAGGAGGGGAAAGGGAACUAAUUAAAAGGUUAAACAACCCAGUCUUUUCUUUCGCAUAGCUCUGUAAAUGGGAACUAGAGUCUAAUUCCCAACAAGAUUCUGCUACUGCAGGCAUCAGGCAUUUCCUAGGGUGGCAAGUGUGACGGAAAAGUUUGUUUGUUGGGCAAAUUGGGUCACCAAGUGUUUUUCUUCUUUUCUUUUUCCUGCCAGAAAACGGUUAACAAAUGGCAGCGUCUGAUUGGCCAGGGUCCAGGGAUGGCAGUUUAAAAGGAGAGGAUUUGGAGAGACAGGUUGAGAGGUUGGGAGAUAGGGAGUUGGUUCUGGGCAGAAACAUCCACUCUCAGGAAUAUAUCAAAAGCUACAGAAAGGAGUCUCUGAGCUUAGUGUGAAGGACAGUGUGUGUGGUGUCCCGUGAGAGUAAUAGGCCAGGAAAUAACUGGGAGGCUGAGGCUGAGCCAGGAGAAGUAGAAGCUGUAAGAGAGACAGUCUACUUAGGUCCCAGUCCAGUCAGGAGGGGAGAGAUUCUUCUAGAAAGAGACGACUCCCAAACCAGUCAAGAGGGGUGUGGAAAUCCCUUGGGUCUGUCACUUGGAGUACCUCAGGAGUAGGAUUGUAAAAAGGGGUGUGUAACUGACAGAAAGUGCCACCUUGUUUAAGAACCAAAGUGUUAAGCGACAACAGCUAUGCAACACCUGAGAAAGAACUGAAAUAACUGGAAAUAAGCUGAGCAUUUACCAUUUAGUCUAAAAACCUGUAAUCUCUACUUGAGGCGAAGUAACUGAACAUAAGCAACUGAAGUUUAAAAGAAGCUAUGCUUGAUUAAGAGUCCAUAACAUUAGUUCGGUUUAGUAUAAAUGAAGGUGAAGUUACCUGAAAUAACAUUAUAACCUGAAGUACCCUUUGUUUUACCCACUUUGUGUCAAAAACUUACUUUGUUUAAUAAAACCUUUCUUGUUUGUUUGAUCAAAUCCUGCUUGAGACUCCAAAUCAUUAAGUUUUCCCUCACACAAGUCCCCCACUAGAUAAUCUGGGGUAAAUUGAAGAAGUUUGCGUAACUGGUGUACCGUGAGGUGGUUGCACUAUAUGUAAGUGAGGGAUGGCCCGACGGUACCAGUGUGAGAAAGGUUAAAAAGAACUAUGCAAGAAUAUGUCGUGGUUAUGAGAAAUUGGUAUAGAUAAGACUCAAGCUUUAAGUUUUAGGGUUUUUUAUAGUAAGAUAAGGUUAAAAUAGAUUAAGGUAAUUUAAUGACAGAAUAUUAUGAAAAAUGGGAAGGAUUUGCUGUGAUAAUCAAUAACUAGAAUACAAAAAAGGGAGGUGUGAGGAGGUCCAUGAAACAAGUUAAUGAAAGAUAAAGAUUUGGGAAUACUGGAUUUGUUUUUAAAUUUUUUGUUUAUUUUUGCUUUUUGAUUUUGAUGUAUUUGUGUGAUUUGUUUUUCUCUUUGAUUUUUGUUUUUAUUGACUGGUAUUGUUUAAUUUCUCUUUUUGUCUACUUUUUUCUUUGUUUCUUUGUAAUUUUAAAAUCUUCAAUAAAUAUUAUUUAAAAAAAAAAAAAGAGAAAGGGCUGUUGUGCCGUCGCAGCAAGUAUAAUGAUCCUAGCCCCAGACACAAAGCCAAUUGACACAAACAGAAAAUCCUAAAUGGUAGACUUUUCCUAUGAAAGUACCAUUGCAGAACAUCUAAUGAUCCUAAUGAAAAAUCAUAUGUUUGAAUACUUUUCUGUGUUUAAAUACCUAGCAACCUUCCUGCAUGUAAAAAAGUAGUACAUUAGGGGAGGGGAUCUCUGGAGAGAGAGAGAGAGAGAGAGAGAGAGAGAGAGAGAGCUCCUGCCACCUAGUGAUUAAAAUGUGCCCUUACAGUCUGAAGUGGCAUAGUCCCAGAACCACAUAAUUUAUAUGGCCUUGUUAACACUUCCCUGCUUCUAACUUAGGUUUCAUGCUCUCAAUAUUCCCCUCACUGUCUCCCAAAGACACAAAAGCCAUUGUCUAGAUGGUUGAUUUUGAUCAUCACCAUGUAUGGAAAACAUCUGCCACAAUCACUUUAUUUUCAAUUGUUUUCUUCUUUAAUAAGUUAGAAGUUAUUUGUACAUAAAGUCAUUUUUGCACAGCCUUGUUCCAGG